rnacentral:rRNA from 1 species
AGCAGCCGCGGUAAUUCCAGCUCCAAUAGCGUAUAUUAAAGUUGUUGCAGUUAAAAAGCUCGUAGUUGAACUUCGGGGUUUACCCAUUGGUCAGGCUUAAUUGUCUGUACUGGUGAGAUAAAUCUCUACCUUCUGAGGAACUUUCAUGUCAUUAAUUUGGUGUGAUUGGAAAUCAGGACUGUUACUUUGAAAAAAUUAGAGUGUUUAAAGCAGGCUAACGUCUGAAUACAUUAGCAUGGAAUAAUGAAAUAGGACGGACUGAUUCUAUUUCGUUGGUUUCUAGGAUCACCGUAAUGAUUAAUAGGGAUAGUUGGG